rnacentral:rRNA from 1 species
UACGUAGGGGGGCUAGCGUUGUCCGGAAUCAUUGGGCGUAAAGCGCGUGUAGGCGGUCCGGUAAGUCUGCUGUGAAAGUCGGGGGCUCAACCCUCGGAAGCCGGUGGAUACUGCUGGGCUAGAGUGCGGAAGAGGCGAGUGGAAUUCCUGGUGUAGCGGUGAAAUGCGCAGAUAUCAGGAGGAACACCAAUUGCGAAGGCAGCUCGCUGGGACGUGACUGACGCUGAGACGCGAAAGCGUGGGGAGCAAACAGG